GGAUGUGAGGGCGAUCUGGCUGCGAUGUCUGUCAGCCCAUUGAUAUCCAGGGGUGAUUCAGCUGAUCUGGCUAAGUGGGUGCCCCUUCCUCCCUCACCAUUCCAUGUGUGUCCUUCCUGAAGGUGCGCACCUGGUCAAUGGAAGGGGAGAUCCUUUCUUUGAUCAAGGGUAUACGAGUACCUGCGCUCCCCUGCUAGAAUCUCCUAACAAGCUCUCAAAAAAAGUCAUGAUAGUACAUUUUAAGUUAUAUAUAUAUUUUACCAUAGUAAAAACUCAUUCAAU
rnacentral:snRNA from 1 species